rnacentral:miRNA from 1 species
UUUUGAAGAUAGUUAUAUCCCAUGCAACAUUUGGGAUAUACUUAUACUAAAA